rnacentral:lncRNA from 1 species
CUCCAGCUGGGCUAGCCCAACCUCCUCUCCUUCCCUCUGGCAUGUACCCCAGAAUUCUAAUACAUUGUCUCAUCCAGGGCAACGAAGAAGAUAGUCAUGAUGCCUGUUCCUACAAGAGUGCUUCUCUGCCUUUUUCUCAUCAUAGAAUACAUAAGAAAAAUGAAAACAUUCAUAUGGUAAAUAGAACUAACUGUUCUCUGCCAUGGUGCUGAAGUGACUGGCCCUGAGAGCUGAGGAGAUCAAGAUCUACCUACCUGUAACCAAGGUGUUACACCCCAGAGGAAAAGCUGUGUCCUGAACAAUGCUGCCAGCAGAUACCCUAAACUUGUGCCAACCUCUAGACUCUACUCUUUGGAAGCAAGUCCCUAGCACAGCCCAAACUCACCGGUGUUAAGCUCCAUCUCAUUGAGAGAUAUUUGGAAAUGAAGGAAAGGAAACUGCUCUUGGAAACCCUGAAAUGAACACACAAUGCAUCAGAGCCAAGCCUGCAAUCACUCAAGAAAGAAUGAUUCUCGAGGCAUCGAGUCCCCCCUGGAAGUUAAUUGAAAGGCUGUCUACAGAAAAGAUGGUCAGUCCUAAGGGAGAGGUAGGUCAGUAACGAAAACACAGAAAAGGAGAGUCCUAGAGAAAACCCAGAGCCCUGACCUGGAGGAAGAGGACCUUGGUCCUAAAGGUGCCUGUGUAUUUUUUGUGGAGAUGGGCACUCAAAUUAUCAUCACCUGAUAUGAUUAUGCAUUUUAAUUUUCCAACUAACCUCGGUGUUUUCACUCUGUACUCAGCGAGCAGCCAUGUGACUGUAAGCUGGCUUCCCAAGUACUUGGUCCUCAAGGAGAGAAUGGGUGUUAUCCCCUCAGCAGUUCCAUUCUGAUGUCCACAGCUGGCUGGUAGGGUGAGUCAGCAUCCCCCCCAGCAGUCCCAUUCACCCUGGGCCACUGCUGGGACCCAGCAUUUGAACAGUAGGACAGAGGGCUGCAGGCUGGCCUAAGUCACACCACAGUGAGCUGGUCUUCCCAGGAAGCUCCCAGCCUUCCCGUUCUAUGGCACUGUCAGACUGUACCUCUUUAUUUCAAAACACAUCAGAAUACAUCAAAGCCCUGACUGUUAGGUAAGUAUUACUAUGCCCACUUUUAUAAGCAAGGAAAUAGAGAUUGCAAAGGGGUAAUUAACUUGCCCAAAGGCGCUUAACUUCAUAAACCAGCCUGGAUUCCGCACCUAUUCUGACUCUAAAGCCUGUGUUCUUUCCCUUGACUUCAUGCGGCCCCUGCCUUCAAGGACUUUCCUCUCCAGUGUAUCUUUAAGUAAGAAAGCGUGUGUGGGAGGUGAGGUGCGGGAGAGGGACGAGAAUGCUCCCCUGCCUGAAGCUCCCCUCUGUGACUAAGAACCCAGUUUGUAAUCUCUUCUUCACUUUUUUUUUUCUUUUGAGACGGCGUCUCGCUCUGUCGCCCAGGCUGGAGUGCAGUGGCGCGAUCUCGGCUCACUGCGACCUCCGCCUCCCGGGUUCAGGCAAUUCUGCCUCAGCCUCCCGAGUAGCUGGGAUUACAGGCAUGCGCCACCACACCCGGCUCAUUUUUGUAUUUUUAGUAGAGACGGGGUUUCACCGUGUUGGUCAGGCUGGUCUCGGACUCCUGACCUCGUGAUCCGCCCGCCUCAGCCUCCCAAAGUGCUGGGAUUACAGGCGUGAGCCGCCGCGCCCGGCCUCUUUUCUUCUCAUACAAGGGUAGGAUGGGGAGAGCACUAAGGGCUACCUCUGUCUCCAGCUACAUUCUCAAGUGCUCCACAAGGAGGAGUGGAGAAUGAUGUUCGGGGGACAGUGAACAGUGCCUGUCCCUCCUUUUGUUGCUCAAACUUCCACACCUGCGGUCACCCUCACUUCCCCCUAGGCGCUUCCAGGCGGGUGGAUGACUGAUGACCCUGACUCCAAGCCAGGAGGACGGGGCUAGGGCUUCAUCCCUUCCUCCCGAAUAAUACCAUCCUGUUUUAACAGCUGAUUUCCAUUCAGCUUCCACCUUAAAACACAGGACACCACCAAACCAUUGAGGCCACCUGUGUCUCUCUUCAGAAUCCUGCGGAACUCCCUCACUCUCAGAUAUUUCUGAAAUACCUACUUAUAAAAAUAGUUUUGGCCGGGCACGGUGGCUCAUGCCUGUAGUCCCAGCACUUUGGGAGGCCGAGGCGGGCAGAUCGCCUGAGGUCAGGAGUCCGAGACCAGCCUGACCAACAAGCUGAA